rnacentral:rRNA from 1 species
UAAGCGGCUAAGCGUACACGGUGGAUGCCCUGGCAGUCAGAGGCGAUGAAGGACGUGCUAAUCUGCGAUAAGCGUCGGUAAGGUGAUAUGAACCGUUAUAACCGGCGAUUUCCGAAUGGGGAAACCCAGUGUGAUUCGUCACACUAUCAUUAACUGAAUCCAUAGGUUAAUGAGGCGAACCGGGGGAACUGAAACAUCUAAGUACCCCGAGGAAAAGAAAUCAACCGAGAUUCCCCCAGUAGCGGCGAGCGAACGGGGAGCAGCCCAGAGCCUGAAUCAGUGUGUGUGUUAGUGGAAGCGUCUGGAAAGGCGCGCGAUACAGGGUGACAGCCCCGUACACAAAAAUGCACAUACUGUGAGCUCGAUGAGUAGGGCGGGACACGUGGUAUCCUGUCUGAAUAUGGGGGGACCAUCCUCCAAGGCUAAAUACUCCUGACUGACCGAUAGUGAACCAGUACCGUGAGGGAAAGGCGAAAAGAACCCCGGCGAGGGGAGUGAAAAAGAACCUGAAACCGUGUACGUACAAGCAGUGGGAGCACAGAGCAAUCUGUGUGACUGCGUACCUUUUGUAUAAUGGGUCAGCGACUUAUAUUCUGUAGCAAGGUUAACCGAAUAGGGGAGCCGAAGGGAAACCGAGUCUUAACUGGGCGUUAAGUUGCAGGGUAUAGACCCGAAACCCGGUGAUCUAGCCAUGGGCAGGUUGAAGGUUGGGUAACACUAACUGGAGGACCGAACCGACUAAUGUUGAAAAAUUAGCGGAUGACUUGUGGCUGGGGGUGAAAGGCCAAUCAAACCGGGAGAUAGCUGGUUCUCCCCGAAAGCUAUUUAGGUAGCGCCUCGUGAAUUCAUCUCCGGGGGUAGAGCACUGUUUCGGCAAGGGGGUCAUCCCGACUUACCAACCCGAUGCAAACUGCGAAUACCGGAGAAUGUUAUCACGGGAGACACACGGCGGGUGCUAACGUCCGUCGUGAAGAGGGAAACAACCCAGACCGCCAGCUAAGGUCCCAAAGUCAUGGUUAAGUGGGAAACGAUGUGGGAAGGCCCAGACAGCCAGGAUGUUGGCUUAGAAGCAGCCAUCAUUUAAAGAAAGCGUAAUAGCUCACUGGUCGAGUCGGCCUGCGCGGAAGAUGUAACGGGGCUAAACCAUGCACCGAAGCUGCGGCAGCGACGCUUAUGCGUUGUUGGGUAGGGGAGCGUUCUGUAAGCCUGCGAAGGUGUGCUGUGAGGCAUGCUGGAGGUAUCAGAAGUGCGAAUGCUGACAUAAGUAACGAUAAAGCGGGUGAAAAGCCCGCUCGCCGGAAGACCAAGGGUUCCUGUCCAACGUUAAUCGGGGCAGGGUGAGUCGACCCCUAAGGCGAGGCCGAAAGGCGUAGUCGAUGGGAAACAGGUUAAUAUUCCUGUACUUGGUGUUACUGCGAAGGGGGGACGGAGAAGGCUAUGUUGGCCGGGCGACGGUUGUCCCGGUUUAAGCGUGUAGGCUGGUUUUCCAGGCAAAUCCGGAAAAUCAAGGCUGAGGCGUGAUGACGAGGCACUACGGUGCUGAAGCAACAAAUGCCCUGCUUCCAGGAAAAGCCUCUAAGCAUCAGGUAACAUCAAAUCGUACCCCAAACCGACACAGGUGGUCAGGUAGAGAAUACCAAGGCGCUUGAGAGAACUCGGGUGAAGGAACUAGGCAAAAUGGUGCCGUAACUUCGGGAGAAGGCACGCUGAUAUGUAGGUGAAGUCCCUCGCGGAUGGAGCUGAAAUCAGUCGAAGAUACCAGCUGGCUGCAACUGUUUAAUUAAAAACACAGCACUGUGCAAACACGAAAGUGGACGUAUACGGUGUGACGCCUGCCCGGUGCCGGAAGGUUAAUUGAUGGGGUCAGCGCAAGCGAAGCUCUUGAUCGAAGCCCCGGUAAACGGCGGCCGUAACUAUAACGGUCCUAAGGUAGCGAAAUUCCUUGUCGGGUAAGUUCCGACCUGCACGAAUGGCGUAAUGAUGGCCAGGCUGUCUCCACCCGAGACUCAGUGAAAUUGAACUCGCUGUGAAGAUGCAGUGUACCCGCGGCAAGACGGAAAGACCCCGUGAACCUUUACUAUAGCUUGACACUGAACAUUGAGCCUUGAUGUGUAGGAUAGGUGGGAGGCUUUGAAGUGUGGACGCCAGUCUGCAUGGAGCCGACCUUGAAAUACCACCCUUUAAUGUUUGAUGUUCUAACGUGGACCCGUAAUCCGGGUUGCGGACAGUGUCUGGUGGGUAGUUUGACUGGGGCGGUCUCCUCCUAAAGAGUAACGGAGGAGCACGAAGGUUGGCUAAUCCUGGUCGGACAUCAGGAGGUUAGUGCAAUGGCAUAAGCCAGCUUGACUGCGAGCGUGACGGCGCGAGCAGGUGCGAAAGCAGGUCAUAGUGAUCCGGUGGUUCUGAAUGGAAGGGCCAUCGCUCAACGGAUAAAAGGUACUCCGGGGAUAACAGGCUGAUACCGCCCAAGAGUUCAUAUCGACGGCGGUGUUUGGCACCUCGAUGUCGGCUCAUCACAUCCUGGGGCUGAAGUAGGUCCCAAGGGUAUGGCUGUUCGCCAUUUAAAGUGGUACGCGAGCUGGGUUUAGAACGUCGUGAGACAGUUCGGUCCCUAUCUGCCGUGGGCGCUGGAGAAUUGAGGGGGGCUGCUCCUAGUACGAGAGGACCGGAGUGGACGCAUCACUGGUGUUCGGGUUGUCAUGCCAAUGGCACUGCCCGGUAGCUAAAUGCGGAAGAGAUAAGUGCUGAAAGCAUCUAAGCACGAAACUUGCCCCGAGAUGAGUUCUCCCUGACUCCUUGAGAGUCCUGAAGGAACGUUGAAGACGACGACGUUGAUAGGCCGGGUGUGUAAGCGCAGCGAUGCGUUGAGCUAACCUGUACUAAUGAACCGUGAGGCUUAACCU